AGAGUUUGAUCCUGGCUCAGGAUGAACGCUGGCGGUCUGCUUAACACAUGCAAGUCGAACGAACUCUUCGGAGUGAGUGGCGGACGGGUGAGUAACGCGUGAGAAUCUACCUGUGGGUCGGGGACAACCACUGGAAACGGUGGCUAAUACCGGAUGAGCCGAAAGGUAAAAGAUUUAUUGCCCACAGAUGAGCUCGCGUCUGAUUAGCUAGUUGGUAAGGUAAAAGCGUACCAAGGCGACGAUCAGUAGCUGGUCUGAGAGGAUGAGCAGCCACACUGGGACUGAGACACGGCCCAGACUCCUACGGGAGGCAGCAGUGGGGAAUUUUCCGCAAUGGGCGAAAGCCUGACGGAGCAAGACCGCGUGGGGGAGGAAGGUUUUUGGAUCGUAAACCCCUUUUGUCAAGGAAGAAGCUCUGACGGUACUUGACGAAUAAGCCUCGGCUAACUCCGUGCCAGCAGCCGCGGUAAUACGGAGGAGGCAAGCGUUAUCCGGAAUGAUUGGGCGUAAAGCGUCUGUAGGUGGCCAGCUAAGUCUGCUGUUAAAGAUCACAGCUCAACUGUGGGAAGGCAGUGGAAACUGGCAAGCUAGAGGUU
rnacentral:rRNA from 1 species